rnacentral:tRNA from 1 species
CCACGUGGCGGAGUGGUGACGCAGCGGACUGCAAAUCCGUAUACCCCGGUUCGAUUCCGGGCGU